rnacentral:rRNA from 1 species
CCUACGGGAGGCAGCAGUCGGGAAUAUUGGACAAUGGGGGCAACCCUGAUCCAGCAAUGCCGCGUGAGUGAUGAAGGCCUUAGGGUUGUAAAGCUCUUUUACCCGAGAUGAUAAUGACAGUAUCGGGAGAAUAAGCUCCGGCUAACUCCGUGCCAGCAGCCGCGGUAAU